ACUCCAAAAUUCUCUGACUUCUUCGCUGCAAGUUUUAUUCUUGCUAAAGGUAUUAAGGUGGGAAGUUCACUCAACAAGGCUAUAUUUUUCUAGCAUGAACAAGUAGGAUUGAUCAGCUGGGUGUAAAAAGCAAAAGAGAGAGGUUUAAGAGAAAAAACUGUAAAUGGUUCAACUCAAGGUGGUUACACAGGAAGAUAUCUGAAGUGAUGUAUUAUUUCAGUUCAGGAGCAUAGUAGUGUAAUAGAGAAGCAAUAGGAUUUGGUUCUUAGGGAGUAGACAGCUCUUUGUAGGUGAAAUUC